rnacentral:tRNA from 1 species
CGGAGCGUAGCGCAGCCUGGUAGCGCGCUGGUUUUGGGUACCAGAGGUCGCGAGUUCGAAUCUCGCCGCUCCGA